UGGCGGCAUGCCUAAUACAUGCAAGUCGAACGAGCUUCCGUUGAAUGACGUGCUUGCACUGAUUUCAACAAUGAAGCGAGUGGCGAACUGGUGAGUAACACGUGGGAAAUCUGCCCAGAAGCAGGGGAUAACACUUGGAAACAGGUGCUAAUACCGUAUAACAACAAAAUCCGCAUGGAUUUUGUUUGAAAGGUGGCUUCGGCUAUCACUUCUGGAUGAUCCCGCGGCGUAUUAGUUAGUUGGUGAGGUAAAGGCCCACCAAGACGAUGAUACGUAGCCGACCUGAGAGGGUAAUCGGCCACAUUGGGACUGAGACACGGCCCAAACUCCUACGGGAGGCAGCAGUAGGGAAUCUUCCACAAUGGACGAAAGUCUGAUGGAGCAAUGCCGCGUGAGUGAAGAAGGGUUUCGGCUCGUAAAACUCUGUUGUUAAAGAAGAACACCUUUGAGAGUAACUGUUCAAGGGUUGACGGUAUUUAACCAGAAAGCCACGGCUAACUACGUGCCAGCAGCCGCGGUAAUACGUAGGUGGCAAGCGUUGUCCGGAUUUAUUGGGCGUAAAGCGAGCGCAGGCGGUUUUUUAAGUCUGAUGUGAAAGCCUUCGGCUUAACCGGAGAAGUGCAUCGGAAACUGGGAGACUUGAGUGCAGAAGAGGACAGUGGAACUCCAUGUGUAGCGGUGGAAUGCGUAGAUAUAUGGAAGAACACCAGUGGCGAAGGCGGCUGUCUAGUCUGUAACUGACGCUGAGGCUCGAA
rnacentral:rRNA from 1 species